rnacentral:rRNA from 1 species
CCUACGGGAGGCAGCAGUAGGGAAUCUUCCACAAUGGACGAAAGUCUGAUGGAGAAACGCCGCGUGAGUGAAGAAGGGUUUCGGCUCGUAAAGCUCUGUUGGUAGUGAAGAAAGAUAGAGGUAGUAACUAGCCUUUAUUUGACGGUAAUUACUUAGACAGUCACGGCUAACUACGUGCCAGCAGCCGCGGUAAUACGUAGGUGGCAAGCGUUGUCCGGAUUUAUUGGGCGUAAAGCGAGUGCAGGCGGUUCAAUAAGUCUGAUGUGAAAGCCUUCGGCUCAACCGGAGAAUUGCAUCAGAAACUGUUGAACUGGAGUGCAGAAGAGGAGAGUGGAACUCCAUGUGUAGCGGUGGAAUGCGUAGAUAUAGGGAAGAACACCAGUGGCGAAGGCGGCUCUCUGGUCUGCAACUGACGCUGAGGCUCGAAAGCAUGGGUAGCGAACAGGAUUAGAUACCCUUGUAGUC